rnacentral:lncRNA from 1 species
AAUUAUUUAUGAUUAGGAUGAUGGUUUCAUAGAUGGAAGAUGUGACUCUGGAGUCGGUGGUGGAAAUGCGUGGGAUCGAGCUACCUGGGGCUCCCACGUGCGGGAAACGGCGGGCCGCUUGCCGAGUCAUCGGAGGACCGCCGCCGCCAGAGAGCGAGGCCCCAACGGAGGAGACGGACGGCGCCCCCCGCCAUCGGCCCGGCCCCGUUCCCUCGGACCCGCGGCGCAGCGGCGACUCGGGGACGACGGGGCAGGACGCGAAAAGCACGCGGAGGUCGGUACGCCGCUCGCCGUGUAAAAUGCUUCUCGGAGUUCGGCGAGGAGGAGUGCGGCCGAGCGCCGGCGACACGCAUUAUUUGUUCCCUCUCCCCCGGCUGUGAAUUUACCUGAUUAAAUCAGCGAGUGCACGCAGCGGCGGUGACAUGAAAACAACAAUUAAUAAGCAACCCCCCAGUGCCAC